CAAAAAAUUACUUUGACAUAUAUUUGCUGUUCCUAACAUUUCAAAAUCAUGUAAGGUGAUGAUUCCAAACCACCUUCUCAUAUAUAUAAAUGAAACAUUGUAAGACAACAGAAAGGAUGUUCUGAAAGCUGUGUUUAUUCAAGUAUCAAUUUACAUUCUGCAAAAUCUACUAAACAUGAGAUCUGACAAAUGCAUAAUCAUGUAACCACCACCAUAAUCAAGUAGAACAAUUGUGGAACAAGAUGUGAACAGGCAAAAAAAUCUCUUGGAAUCAAUUCAUGUUGCCAAAAGGAUUAAAAUCUAAUCACUAAAAUGACCUUUUGCAUAUAAAAUACAGGACCAUGUUUUUCAAAAAGCGAGAUACUUUAGUUAUGAAAUAGCUACUUAGAAUUGUUUUGACCUUAAUGUACUAAUCUUUGUAGAGUAUAUGAAUCAAGAUAGUUUCAGACUGGGACUAGAUGAUUAAAAAAAAAAAAUGGAAUUCUACAGAAAUUAGUCUCUGCGGGACCAACUGCACUAAAAGGCAAAGGCACAAAAUUCUCAGAUAUCUGUUCCUAUGUGUAACUGCACCUGUCUCAAAAUUCACCCCUGCUACAAUAGGCAUAGGGCAAAAUCUCUACUUUGCAUACAGAUACACCUUUUCUACUCGAAAAGCUUCACCUAUUCUUCCAGGUACCAGACCUGUUAAAAAAAAAAAUCACAAUAGGUAAGUAUUAAGUCAGUAAUUACUAAAUAACAGCAAAAAUAGUGGUUUCUAGUUUCACCCACUGCUGACUCAGUUAACAUAGUAACAUUUUUAAUAUUCAAAAUCCUUUCUCUUGGCUUGAGUAUUGAUUUACUACAGGGGUUUCCCCCCUUUUUUGCCUAAAGCAAAAGGGUGGUGCUGAUUGAAUUUAGUAAAUUCCUGCAUAUCAAAUUGGCCUCAGGUAAAUCCUUUAACCCAUCAGAGUAGAGCAUAUCCAAUCAGGUUAGAGUUCUCAUCUUUGGCCAGGAAUUCUAUUCCUAUUAUUAGCUCAAGCCCCUAGUUUUUUCCAUAGGUCCAUACCUUAUGUUUAUCAACAUCUUGAACUCCACUGAGCCUGGUUAAAAAAAAGUGACAGCAAUAUUAAUAACGGGCUACAACUUUAUCUUUGGAAGAGCAGCCACUAUUUUGGCUAUCUACUAAGCUAUCUUUGAGGAUUACAUAGAACACUACCUCUAAAUAGAUCUUUUUUUUUUUUUUUUUUUUUUUUUGGACCGGAGAUCGAACUCUGGACCUUGCACUUGCAAGGCAGGCACUGGAACCACUGAGCUAAAAUUCCCGGCCCUAAAUAGAUAUUUUUUAUAAAGCUGCAACCUCCAAAUUUCUGACACUUGGGAGUCUUCUGUAAUUUCCAGUUAUGAGUGAAAUGAAGCAAGAUUCCUUAUACUGUUACCAUCUUUCCAACUAUAUCUGAUACACUAGCACGGAAUGGCAUCACGUUUAUGGUAUUUUCUUAGGAAAAACUGAAACACAACUUUUCCAGAUUUUUAAAAAUCAAAAGCACUCAUUUGUUUACCCUGAAGCUGAGAUUAAACCCAGAGGUUGAGAAGUUUCCGGUUUCCACAGCCUUUAAAUAGACUAGCUCUGGCUGCCGCCUUGAUCUGCCAAGCUCUCUGCUUACGUCUCUCAUAGGUCAAACUGAAUAAACACUUUGGCUCAAGAGGAACCCUAACACCAAGAGCAAUGCUAAACAAAGGGGACCCAUUCCCUGUUCCGUGUGCAGGGCUAUCUGUCAGAUUGGGGUACUCAGGACAGGGAAAGUUGUCCAAGUGGUCUAGGGCUGAACAAGAUGCCGGGAACACGGGCCACCCACACUACACUCCCUUCCUCUUUAAUGACACUCAGAAUGCUCAGUGAAGCCUGAGAGGAUUAGUAUGAGGCGAAAAUACGAACUGAGACUAGACCUUUAUAAGGGGAUGGGGUGCCGGGCUGUCUCGAACAACGGCGAGAGCAGCGACCAGGGGCUGGCUAGGUGACCUCUUAUUUAUAUGGGCAAGGGGUAUGGGGGGGGGCAUAGUGGAGGCAGCCAGUGGUGAGGUUUAAAUCCAUUGGCAAUUUGAAUUUCUCGGUGGGAAGGACUAUAAGUGGGAAAGCUUCAAGGCGGUAAAGUUAGGUUAUUGUUUCCCUGAAUGACUUAUUAUCUGCCAGGAAGGUCCAUUUAGGAGGUGGGCUUGCCAGAGCCAUUUUAUCUAGCAGAGAACUCUAUCAAUACCCCAAAUACGGACACACGUACCCCAAGACUUAGAAACUCUUGAGAGAAGCUGUCCAGGACGGCCUCGUAUGCUCUAUAGCUUGGUGGGCAGAAGUCAGGUAUUUAAGGCCGUGUCCAAGGCAGAACCUUGGGUUCAGAUUUUUUUCCCCAGGGAAGAAAAGCCAGGCCUCCCUCCCUGAACAGCUGGAAGCGGGCCCUGCGCAGCACACCGCGCCGGCCGCCCCUAAAAGGCGGAUCUGGGGGCGAAACGUGGGCUUCCUCAGUUCAGGCUCAGAGCGGUGUGUCUGACUCACGGGUCUUCAGCUCCCGCUAGACUCUCCCUGGAACCUUUUCAAAAUCCCAAAUGCCUUCCAAAGUGACAACUAAAAGGCAUUUGUGGCGGGGAAGUGGCCGCGUGGGCGAAAUUACCUCCGUUUCCAGCCAGAACUGGAAUUAUACUGCUCCACUAGGAAAUUUCAAAAUGCUUCAGAACCUCUGAUCUCAUCUGCUUCCUCGAUAGACCAUGUGCCCGUGACCCGGCGGGAGCCCCGAUCCCGGAGGUCCCCGCGCAGGGCAGGGGGUGCAGGCGGCUGGGUCCACAGACCGCCGUCCAGAGUCUACUCACCCAGGAGUGCGCGCGGCCGAAAAGGGAAGGAGCUGGCGAGGCCCAGUUGAAAAGGGCCCUGGGCCGUCCUCACCCGCGCAGCAGCCAACCAAAAAUUGGCCCGGACGCCCCUCCCGGGCCAGCACCCCGCCUAGCGCCUGCCUCCCCGCCCGCCCAGCCCGGAGGCCCUCGCGCGUCCCCUGCCGGGAGAAGGAGCCCUGGUCUCCCGCGGCCAGGGCCUCUCGGCCUCCCCAGUCGCGGGCUCGGACAGCACUGGGAAGGAAUUUCAGUAAAAUCCUGUGCAGACACCAAUCUUGGCAGCAUGCAGUCUUGAGGUUGUCCUGCUGGCUUCCUCCUUCAGCCUGUCCCCUGGUCUCAGUGGGGAUUGGCUAAGAUUCCUUUCUGAUCAGGUGGGAGAACCACGAAGCACGUGAAGUGGAUUUGGCUCCUGCCCCCUGAUGUGCUAAGGCCCAGUGGGAACAAGACUUUCUUGAGCUUCCUCUCGCUGUUAUCCUGUGUCCCUUCUCCUCUCUUUGCCAAGAGCAGCCUGAGAGUCAGCAGUGCUGUCACGGGUGUGGUGGGAGAGCAGGGUGACUGUAUUUUUCUAUUGUCUACCUGCUCCUUCAUGAGCCAGCGUUCUGCUGGACAGGGUCACAGGGUCCCCGGGGGACCUUACUUUUAAUCCAGGCCAGUUAAUUU
ensembl:lncRNA